rnacentral:rRNA from 1 species
AGCGAACGCUGGCGGCAGGCUUAACACAUGCAAGUCGAGCGGGCAUCUUCGGAUGUCAGCGGCAGACGGGUGAGUAACACGUGGGAACGUACCCUUCGGUUCGGAACAACUCUGGGAAACUGGAGCUAAUACCGGAUACGCCCUUAUGGGGAAAGGUUUACUGCCGAAGGAUCGGCCCGCGUCUGAUUAGCUAGUUGGUGGGGUAACGGCCUACCAAGGCGACGAUCAGUAGCUGGUCUGAGAGGAUGAUCAGCCACACUGGGACUGAGACACGGCCCAGACUCCUACGGGAGGCAGCAGUGGGGAAUAUUGGACAAUGGGCGCAAGCCUGAUCCAGCCAUGCCGCGUAAGUGAUGAAGGCCUUAGGGUUGUAAAGCUCUUUUGUCCGGAACGAUAAUGACGGUACCGGAAGAAUAAGCCCCGGCUAACUUCGUG